rnacentral:piRNA from 1 species
UAAUGAGGUAAUACUUUAGCCCCCUA